rfam:Sphingobium sp. GW456-12-10-14-TSB1 unitig_2.quiver.pilon, whole genome shotgun sequence.
GGGUGUUCGCCCCCGAUAAGGGACGGGCAGGACUUCGUGCUGGUCGGGCCGCCAGCA